UUGCAGGCGUGACCUAUAGGGGCAGA
rnacentral:piRNA from 1 species